rnacentral:lncRNA from 1 species
GUGGCUUUGUCCAUCACAUAGGGAGACUGAGGCCCAGAACAUGGCUGCCCACUUUGUCUUUCUUGGUUGCUGUCUGCGGGUCAGGAGAAAACCCUGCCAGCCGCAUGGUAAUAAUCCCCAGCCUCGAAGAGAAGGGGGAGCCUGGCCCCUCUGCUUCCUCUCCCACUUCCGGCCACCAGAUGAACAGAGGUCUCCACCGAAAGCUCCCUCCACACAUGCUCCAAAAUGUGAACCAAAAGGAAACUUCCUUCUCCUUAAGUUGAUUCUCUCAGGUAUUUGUGCCAGUAAGGAAAGGUGAUGCACAGAAGUGGACCACAACGUUGGUUUCUCCACUUGGAUGGUUGCGCCGUUAACAGGCACGGUGGUAUAUGCCUGUGAUCCCAGCACUCAGGAGGCUGAGGCAGGAGGAUCUCCAUGAAUUCAGGGCCAGCCUGGGCUGCAUACUGAGUUCAAGACCAACCUGAACUACAUAGCAAGACCCUGUCUCUAAAACCCAACCAACCAACCAACCAACCAACCAAACACAAGUCCAAAACAAAACAAACA